rnacentral:rRNA from 1 species
GACGAACGCUGGCGGCGUGCUUAACACAUGCAAGUCGAACGGAAAGGCCCUGCUUUUGUGGGGUGCUCGAGUGGCGAACGGGUGAGUAACACGUGAGUAACCUGCCCUUGACUUUGGGAUAACUUCAGGUAACUGGGGCUAAUACCGGAUAGGAUCUCCUGCUGCAUGGUGGGGGUUGGAAAUUUUCGGCGGUUGGGGAUGGACUCGCGGCUUAUCAGCUUGUUUGUGGGGUAGUGGCUUACCAAGGAUUUGACGGGUAGGCGGCCUGAGAGGGUGACCGGCCACAUUGGGACUGAGAUACGGCCCAGACUCAAACGGGAGGCAGCAGUGGGGAAUAUUGCACAAUGGGAGGAAGCCUGAUGCAGCAACGCGGCGUGCGGGAUGACGGCCUUGGGGUUGUAAACCGAUUUAGAAUGAGACGAAGCGGGAGUGACGGUAAUGGGUAAAGAAGCACCGGCUAACUACGUG